rnacentral:rRNA from 1 species
AGUGAACGCUGGCGGUAGGCCUAACACAUGCAAGUCGAACGGCAGCACAGUAAGAGCUUGCUCUUACGGGUGGCGAGUGGCGGAAGGGUGAGGAAUACAUCGGAAUCUACUUUUUCGUGGGGGAUAACGUAGGGAAACUUACGCUAAUACCGCAUACGACGUACGGGUGAAAGCAGGGGAUCUUCGGACCUUGCGCGAUUGCAUGAGCCGAUGUCGGAUUAGCUAGUUGGCGGGGUAAAGGCCCACCAAGGCGACGAUCCGUAGCUGGUCUGAGAGGAUGAUCAGCCACACUGGAACUGAGACACGGUCCAGACUCCUACGGGAGGCAGCAGUGGGGAAUAUUGGACAAUGGGCGCAAGCCUGAUCCAGCCAUACCGCGUGGGUGAAGAAGGCCUUCGGGUUGUAAAGCCCUUUUGUUGGGAAAGAAAAGCAGCAGGUUAAUACCCCGCUGUUCUGACGGUACCCAAAGAAUAAGCACCGGCUAACUUCGUG